rnacentral:rRNA from 1 species
CCUACGGGAGGCUGCAGUGAGGAAUAUUGGUCAAUGGGCGCGAGCCUGAACCAGCCAAGUCGCGUGAGGGAGGACGGCCCUACGGGUUGUAAACCUCUUUUGCCGGGUAGAAACGGGCGUCACGUGUGGCGCCACUGAGAGUACCCGGAGAAAAAGCAUCGGCUAACUCCGUGCCAGGAGCCGCGGUAAUACGGGGGAUGCGAGCGUUAUCAGGAUUUAUUGGGUUUAAAGGGUGCGUAGGCGGAUCGGUAAGUCAGGGGUCAAAUUGAGGGGCUCAACCCCUUCCCGCCAUUGAAACUGGCGUUCUUGAGUGGAAGAGAGGUAUGCGGAAUGCGUGGUGUAGCGGUGAAAUGCAUAGAUAUCACGCAGAACCCCGAUUGCGAAGGCAGCAUGCCGGCUUCCGACUGACGCUGAAGCACGAAAGCGUGGGGAUCGAACAGGAUUAGAUACCCGGGUAGUC